rnacentral:rRNA from 1 species
GGCAGCAGUGGGGAAUCUUCGGCAAUGGGCGAAAGCCUGACCGAGCAACGCCGCGUGAAUGAUGAAGGCCUUCGGGUUGUAAAAUUCUGUUAUAAGGGAAGAACGACUUUAGUAGGAAAUGGCUAGAGUGUGACGGUACCUUAUGAGAAAGCCACGGCUAACUACGUGCCAGCAGCCGCGGUAAUACGUAGGUGGCGAGCGUUAUCCGGAAUUAUUGGGCGUAAAGAGCGCGCAGGUGGUUGAUUAAGUCUGAUGUGAAAGCCCACGGCUUAACCGUGGAGGGUCAUUGGAAACUGGUCGACUUGAGUGCAGAAGAGGGAAGUGGAAUUCCAUGUGUAGCGGUGAAAUGCGCAGAGAUAUGGAGGAACACCAGUGGCGAAGGCGGCUUCCUGGUCUGUAACUGACACUGAGGCGCGAAAGCGUGGGGAGCAAACAGGAUUAGAUACCCUGGUAGUCCACGCCGUAAACGAUGAGUGCUAAGUGU